GUCUGUUUGAAAGUUAUAUACAGUCUAGCCUGCCCACUGGGUAACUAAAGGGCCGCGGUACACUGACCGUGCGAAGGUAGCAUAGUAAUUAGUUCUUUAAUUGAGGACUGGAAUGAAUAGUUGGACGAGAAGUUAGCUGUCUCUAAUGUAAAUUUUGAAGUUUACCUUUAAGGGAAAAGGCUUAAAUAAUAUAAAGGGACAAUAAGACCCUAUAAAACUUUACUUCUUAUUUAAGAGUUAUUAAAUUAGAGGUGUAAAUUUGCUCUUAAAAUAAGUGUUUUGUUGGGGCGAUAGGAAUAUAAAAUAUUAACUGUUUUUGAAAAUAAAAUAAUAUUAAUUAGAUUAAAUGAUCCUUUAAUAUGGAUUAUAAGAUUAAGCUACUUUAGGGAUAACAUCGUAAUUUCUCUUGAGAGACCUAAUCAACAGAGUUAGUUGCGACCUCGAUGUUGAAUUAAGAUAUCAUUUAGGUGCAGAAGUCUAAAUAGUAGGUCUGUUCGAUCUUUAAAAUCUUACAUGAUUUGAGUUCAAACCGGCAUGAG
rnacentral:rRNA from 1 species